UGGCUGGUUGCUCAGUGGUUAGAGCAUUGCCCUGCAAACUGAAGGAUUUUGGGUUCAAUUCCCACUCAGUCAA
rnacentral:tRNA from 1 species